rnacentral:rRNA from 1 species
AGUGAACGCUGGCGGUAGGCCUAACACAUGCAAGUCGAACGGCAGCACAGUAAUAGCUUGCUCUUACGGGUGGCGAGUGCCGGACGGGUGAGGCAUACAUCGGAAUUUACUUUUUCGUGGGUGAUCACGUAGCGAAACUUACGCUAAUACGGCAUACUACCUACGGGUGAAAGCAGGGGAUCUUCGGACCUUGCGCGAUUGAAUGAGCCGAUGUCGGAUUAGCUAGUUGGCGGGGUAAAGGCCCUCCAAGGAGACGAUCCGUAGCUGGUCUGAGAGGGUGAUCAGCCACACUGGAACUGAGACACGGUCCAGACUCCUACGGGAGGCAGCAGUGGGGAAUAUUGGACAAUGGGCGCAAGCCUGAUCCAGCAAUACCGCGUGAGUGAAGAAGGCCUUCGGGUUGUAAAGCCCUGUUGUUGGGAAAGAAGAGCAGCAGGUUUAUCCCCCGCUGUUCUGACGGUACCCAAAGAAUAAGCACCGGCUAACUUCGUG